rnacentral:piRNA from 1 species
UAUUGAAUAAAUAACUGAUUUAUCAAUGC